rnacentral:tRNA from 1 species
UCCUUGGUGGCCUAGCAGUUAAGGAUUUGCAUUGUCACUUCUGUGACCCAGGUUUGAUUCCUGGCUGGGGAC